rnacentral:rRNA from 1 species
GAUGAACGCUGGCGGCGUGCCUAAUACAUGCAAGUCGAGCGAACAGACGAGGAGCUUGCUCCUCUGACGUUAGCGGCGGACGGGAGAGUAACACGUGGAUAACCUACCUAUAAGACUGGGAAAACUUCGGAAAACCGGAGAUAAUACCGGAUGAUAUAUUGAAGCACAUGGAUCAAUAGUAAAAGACGGUGUUGCUGUCACUGCUCGCUGGAUACGCGCCGCAUUAGCUAGUUGGUAAGGAAACGGCUUACCAAGGCAACGAUGCGUAGCCGACCUGAGAGGCUGAUCGCCCACACUGGAACUGAGACACCCUCCAGACUCCUACGGGACGCAGCAGUAGCGAACCUGCCGCAAUGGUCGAAAGCCUUACGGAGCAACGCCGCGCGUGUUAUGAAGGUCUUCGGAUCGUAAAACUCUGUUAUUAGUUAAGAACAAAUUUGUAAGUAACUAUGCACGUCUUGACGGUACCUAAUCAGAAAGCAACGGCUAACUACGUG